UAUGUUUUUUCUUUUCGUUCCACAUAUGGUUAAUUCUUUCAAACUCUGAAAUGAAACAUCGUUUUUUGUAGGAAACAAGGCAAAUUUGAGAAAAAAUUACGGAACUAGGCAAAAAAAAUUUUAAGUAGGUUAAAUUUAUUAUAAGUAAAAAAUUUAAAAAAGAAAUUAAAAAUUAAAAAAAGGUAAAAGGGUGUGAGGGG
rnacentral:lncRNA from 1 species